CGUGUACCUGUUGCCCGAUCGGGUUAUUUACCCUGGCACACACCACCCUCCUUGUUGCCAGGACGACCCCUGCCCUGGGGACGAGUUUUGCCGGUGCACCCAAAAUGUCUCCCCCGGUACCCCAGUUUUGCGUUGUGGCGCCGCUGCGGCUUCUGUGAGCCGAGGUGUCCGCGAUCUCCCGCCUGGCCCCCCUCUCGUGCUAGCUGUGGUUCCGGGGUGUUGCCUCGGGAUGGGGAAAGCGUAGCGUUUCUUCGCAGCCCCCAUCCCCCUGGCGGGCGACGUUGCGGACUCUGCGCAGCUGCCGCUGUGACUCACCUCCUUCCUCCCUGCAGAGACCUGUGUGGCCGCAGCCUUUGGCUGAGGGCCCUCGACCCGAUUCUUCAUCUGCCUCUCAAGGUGUGUUCUCAGGAGCAGUGUGGCACCAUCUUCGGGUUUGAUUCCAGGAUCAAUUUUUGAAACCACUUGUGCAGGAGACUUGCAGAGCUUGCAGGGCUGUGCCAGGAUGGAGCGGAGGGAUAAGCCUUGCCCGUGGAAGAACUGUUGAGCUCGCUACCUGGAAGACAGGGCACGCGUCCAGGCACGCGUCCAGGCACGCGUCCAGGCCCGCCACACGCAGGUUGGCCUCCCCAGCUGCUACAGAGAGAAGUUUGGACCUUCUUCCGUUUGUUGUCAUCUGCGUUCACUGAGUAGACCUUGUGUUGAUUACUGGGACCCAGUGUGUCCCAGGGUUGUGGACUGAACGAAUACCAGGCGCCAGACGUACAGCUCUGCUCCCGUACCUCUGACCCCACGACAAAGGAAGAGAGGCCCCGAGCUUGGCAGCUUCUUGGAACGUCCCAGAAGAUCUGGAAUCUAGAAGGAGAGAACAGGUCUGCAAGGAAGAGAUUCUGUUAAGAGAAUAGAUCUUCAGACUUCUUUCUACACACAGGAAAGGUAACUGUGUGAGGUGAGGGGUGUAUUACAAUUACCUUAAUUGUGAUCAUCAUUUCACAAUGUGUACGUAUAUCAAAUCAUAUUACGCACUUUAAUUCUAUACAAUUUUAUCAAUUAAAAAGAAAGCUGGGAAAAAAUACAAAUAAAAUGUCAAGCAGAUCCCCUGAUGGGUGGUUCUGUUGAGUUCAGCUUUAUCCUUGCUGACUGUCUGCCUACUGGGUCUGUCAGUUACUAAUAGAGGGAGUGUGGAAAUCCCUUACGUUAAUAGUGGGUAAUCUAUUUCUCUGCAUUUUUGUCAGUUUUUGCCUCUUGUAUUGUGACGCUUUGUUGGAAAGUGCAUAUAUUUCAAAGAUUAUUGUGUCUUCUCAGAGAAUCGACCCCCCCUUAUUAUGUAACACCCUCUUUAUUCCUUGGAAGUUUCCUUGUUCAAAUGCCUUUUUUGUCUGAAAUUAGUAUCACUACUCCAGCUUUCAUUUGAUUAGUGCCCGUGAUACCCCUCUCCCCGCUCUUUUACUCUUAAUAUUUGUGUGUUUUUAUAUUUAAAUUGGGUUUCUUAUAGACACCAUAGAGUCCGGUCUAGUUUUUCACCUACCCUUACAGUGUCUUCUUUUAACUGGCGAUUUAGAGCGCACGCCCAUUUAAAUUGAUUAUUGAUAGUUGGAUUUAUAUCUACCAUGUUUGUCAAAAUUCUGUAUUUGUUGCACUUGUUCUUUGUUUUUUUCUUAAUCUUUCUGUUUCUGCCUUCUCUUCUAAUUGAGCAUUUUUUAUUAUUCCAUUUUCUCUUCUCUCUCAGCGUAUCAGUUAUAUUUCUUUUUAACUUUUUAGUGGUUUCCCUAGACCUAGACUGCGCAACAUAAAUUUACAACUAAUCUAGGUCCACCUUCAGACAACACUGCACCACUGUCUGGGCAGUGUGGGUGUAACAGAGAAUCCCCAGCUCCCCACUCCCAUCCCUUCAUAACACUGCUACCGUCUCUUGCACUGACCUCCGCGCUAUGAUCACCCGUAUGUUGUGGCUGUUAUUCCUUUGAACAGGUGUCCUUUAGAGUAAAUAAGAAAAAUAAAAUAUUGUAUUUUAGUCUUCACUUAUGCCUUCUCUGAUACCUUUCCUUUAUUCAUGUAGACUCAAAUUUCUGACUAGUACCAUGCUCCUUCUCUCUGAAGACCAUCUUUAUCAUUGACUGGUGACAAAAAUUCUCUCAGUGCUGUAAGUCUGAGUGUUUCACAUUGAAUUAUGUUCCCCUCCAGAAGUCAUAUGUCAAAGCCCGAGCUCCCAACAUGACUGUAUUUGGAGACAGGGCCUUUAGAAAUGUCAUUGAUGUCACAUGUGGUCAUAAGGGUGGGGCCUUACUGCAAUUUGGCUGGUGUCCUUGUAGGAAGAGGAAGAGACCCAAGGAUGCGCGCGCUCAGGGAGGUCAGGCCGUGCGAGGAGACGGCUGUCUCCAAGCCGAGCAGAGAGGCCUCUCGAAAGGCAACACUAAAGCACCUUGAUCUUUGACUUUCAGUCUCCAAAACUGUAGAAAAUCCUUUUUGUGUCAUUGUUUAAAUCACCCAGUUUAUGCUAUUGUGUUAUGGCAGUCCUAGCAAACUGCUAUACCAAGAAAGUCAUUAUUUUCCCUUACUUCGGAAGAAUGAUUUUUCUGAAUAUGUAGACUCCCUUGGUUGGUGGGUUUUUCUUUCACCACUUUAAAUACUUCAUUCUAUUCUCUUCUGGCUUGCAUGAUUUGUGAAGCAAGUCUGAUGUAAUUCCUGCCUUUGUUCCUCUCUAGAUAAGGUGUUUUUAUCCUUUGACUUUUUAAAAGAUUUUUUUCUUUGGCUUUGGCUUUAUGCAAUUUGAAUAUGCUAUGCCUAGGGGUGUGUGUGUGUGUGUGUGUGUGUGUGUGUGUGUGUGUGUGUGUGUAGAUACAUAUAUGUGUGUAGGUAUGUAUGUAUAUUGGCAUUUAUCCUGCUCAGUGUUCUCAGAGGUUCCUAGAUUUGUGGUGUGGUUUCUGCCAUUAAUUUUAGAAAAAUCCCAGUCAUUAUUAUGUCAAAUAGUUCUGUUUCUUUCUCUUUUCUUCUACUUUGGAUAGUCUCAUGAUACGUAUGCUAUACCUUUUGUAAUUGCCCCAUAGCUAUUAGAUAUUCUGUUCCAAUUUUUAUUAUUUUUUAUCUCUUUACAGUUUAGUUUGGGAAGCUUCUAUUGACAUAUCUUCAAGUGCUCUGAUUCUAUCUCCAGCCCUUUCCAAUCAUCUGAUGACCCAUCAGAUGAUAUAUAUACUUGAUUUCUGUUUCUAAUCUUUCCUUUAUAUUCUCUCUUAGGGUUUCUAUCUCCGUUUCCAUUACCUGUCUGCUCUUGCAUAUUGUCCACUUCUCCCACUGAAGCCCUCAGCAUAUUAAUCAUACGUAUUUUUAAUUUCCCUGUCUGAUGAUUUCAAAAUCUCUGCCAUAUCUGAAUCUGGUUCUGACACCUGCUUUGUCCCUUCAGGUUUUUUCUUCUUUCCUUUUAUCAUGCCAUGUAGUUUGUUGUCGUUGUUGAAAGCCAGUCGUGAAUUAUCAGGUAUUAGGAAGUAAAUAGGCCUUUGGUAUGAUGUUUAUUUUUACCUGGCUAAGAGAUAGGCUAUAUUUACUGUUUCCUGUCUCUGUAGCAUCAGAGGAUUCAGUUUCCACUAGUGUCUUUGUUUUUGUCCCCCAGCAUCUUUCGUUUCCCUAGAAAACAGUUCUUCUGUAGAAUUUGAGCCUUACAGUUCUUUUCAGCUGUAAUCCACUAUUAUAAGCCAGGAGCCCUGUUGAUGUUUGGUCAGGUCUGGACUGAGGACACUCAUUCUAGAAUCCUGGGAUUAGGUCUCAGUCUUUAGUGUACCUGGCCCCCUGGGCUGGGACCUUCUCAGGGGUUUCUCUGCUCCCCGCCUCCACCUUAUGUGAAAAGGGAAGGCUCAACAGCCUUGAGUUGCUCACUUCCCUUACCCCGAGUCCCGUAAGGCUUCUUCUCCCUUGCUGGGUAAGCCUUUGUUGUGGAGAAUGCUCUUGGCUUCUUUCAAGAUAGUUCUUUCUUGCCUCUCCCAGGCCCAACAGGAAGCAGUUUUGCUCUGCUCCUCAUUGAGAGGAGCUGAGGAGGAUUCUCGGGGUAGACACCAUGAUUGUAGAGGAGGUGGCUACCUUAGAUGGGGCCCCCAGGAGUUUUCAUCUCUCAAGCUAGUCCACAGCUCACUGAAGCUGCCGUUCAAGGCCAGCACCUCCUGCCUCGGGGGUGCAGCAUUACAGUCCGUGCAGUCUGUCAUCUCUGUCAUCGCUGGUUCCUCUAGGAUUAGGGUGCAGUUGGUCCCAUGACCUCAAUUCUCUGAUAUCCCCACCAAGACUCAUUGAUUUUUAAUCUGUUCAUAUUUUUUCUUGUUGUGAAGAUGGGAGUGAAGACUUGCAAGCCCUUUAUGUGUUGGUGUAGAAUCUUUCCUUUCGAUUUUAGACAUUGUUUCUGUUAGCUCUUUGGACAUAUUAAAAUAGCUGAUGAAAGUCGUUAUGUAGUAAUUCCAGUGCCUGUGCUUCCUUGGGACAGUUCUAGUUCUAUUGCUUGCUGUCCCCUCCAUACGUGGGCCAUCCUUUUUUGAUUCUUAGUGUGCCUCGUAAAAUUUUAUUAAAAACUGGACAUUUUGAAUAUCGUAAUGUGGCAACGCUGGAAAUGAGAUUCCCUUCCUGCCAGACUUCCUUGUUGCCACCUGUUACAGUUCGUGUUUAUUUAGGACUUCUCUGAAUUAAUUCCGCAAAGACUCUCUUCGUUUUUGUAUAUAGCCACUGAAGCCUUGGUUCAGUUAGCUCAGUGUCGGCUAAUGGCGGACGGAGAUUUCCUUGAGUGCCUGGAACAAAUAAAUCUUGCCAUCAUUUCUGAGAGGCUCAGGAUAUAUUUCUAGGGACAUGUGCAGUUACGACAAUACAGACACUGGAAGAUAAGGUUGUGCUUUUCACCUUUAAAGACUAUCACAGUUUGAUUCUGGAAGUCAGAUGGGGAGCACUGGGGGGUACUGUGUACUUACUCUAGCCAUCGGUAGCAUCUCUUAGGGUUUCUGUACUUCACACUCUUGAUGAAGCUAGAGACAUGUUGUUGCUCUGCACUCUAGUUGACCAAGCUGGGAAGGUAAGCUUCCCGCCCCAUCCUCAGUUUGCCUGCAGCCCGGGUCCAUGGCACACCUACCACAUGCGAUCCACUCGAUCUUUCUGCUGGGUAUGAAUUUCCUUCUGGGGCUAAAGAGAAUGUUCUGGAAAUAGAUAGUGAGGUUUGAUGCAAGAAUUUGUAAAUAUACUAGAGACCACUAAAUCGUACAUUUUAACAGGGUGAACAUGAUGGUAUGUGCAUUGUCUCUCAGUAACAAUGUUAUUUUACAAAAGAAGAAAUAAUACUGUGGAGAGCGUAAAUCCCUCCAUGUACUCAAAAAAUACCAAUGGACCGGCCACCGUUUGACAUUUCUAGGGACUAGGGAUCAACAAUUGAACACAAAUUCUUUCCCUUGUAGGCCAUAUAUUCUGGUAUUAGACGAAAAGCAGUAAGGUAGCUUUUCGUAAUAUCUCUGUAUAAUAUCUUAAGAAGAUAAGCACGCUCAAGAGUAUCAAAUAAUUUGUUUUAUGGCUUCCUAACUGCCCUUCAUGUAUGAUCUAGUCUGUUAUUUCUGCUCAUUAGGGUCCCAAAAGGCAACAAAUAAACUUUUCUCAAAACAAACACGAUAGUGAAGCUUUAUGCAGAAUUGCCAAAACAUUGAAGGAACCAAGAUGUCCUUCACUAGGUGAACGGCUGAAUAAGCUGUGGUACAUGCAGACAGUGAAAUAUUACUUAGCAUGAAAAAGAAAUGAGCUAUCAACCCAUGAAAAGACAUGGAAGAACCUUAAAUGCAUUAUUACUAAGUAUUUGAAAAGGCUCCAUCCUGUAGAAUUCCAACCAUAGGACAUUCUAGAAAAGACAGAAUUAGGGAGACAUAAAAAGUUCAGUAGUUGCCAAGGGUUGGGGUCAUUGGGAUGGUGAGAAGGCGGAGCACAGGAGUUCCGGGGCCAUGCGACUCUGUUACUGUCAUGGCGGACGCAUGGCGGUACUCGUUUGUUCACAACCACAGACUAUACAACAUCAAGAGUCCUCUGGUUACUUCUCCAGACUCCCGUGGAGUCUCUCUCCUCCUCACUCCUGAUAUUCAACCACAUGGCGUCUUCUACAAAAUAUGAAACUCUCCUAACUUAGGAUCUUUGCCCAGAACCUUUCAUCUGGCUUACUCUUAUUUAUCCUUCAAGUUCGGCUUUCAUGUUCAUCCAUCUCUUGGAGUAGCCUUUUUUGACCUCGCAGCCUCUAUCUGAAUCCAUUGUAUUCUCUCCUUGUACCAUGUCCCUUAUUGGAUGCACUGAUCACCAUCUGUGUAUUUAUUCGUUUAUUGUCUGGGUCCCCAGCUGGGUGGCCCAUUUCAUGAGCGUAAGGAAGGCAUCUGCCUUGUGCACUGAUGUAUUCCCAGCACAUAGCCCAGGACCUAGAUGGAGUAGGUGCUCAGUGCACCUGCUGACUGUGUGAACAAAUGAAUGGACUUGGUGAGGUUGUUGUUGCUAGCUCAGAGUACUUUAGCCAUUUACCCACUGCCACGCAGCUAGCAAGUGGACAGAAAUGGAGGAGACCUCAGAAGUAUAGUUCGUAGGUGACUAUACCAUCUGGGAGAGUAUUUGCUAAGAAAGGAGGGGUGGGGCAUGGAAAGGGCAGUGGAGAAGAUUCCAGAACAGUGACUCUCAGGGAGAUGUUCCCAGGUAUGGCGGAUGGGGUGAGAAUAUGUAAGCUGCAUAUUCAGUAUUUUACUUUUGUUGAGAAAUAUCUUCUGUUUUCAUAAAACAGACUGUUGAGACUACCCUUUCCCCUGGCUGGGAAGGAGAGUAGGAAAUACAGUGCUUUUCCUCUAACAGGGCAGAUUUUUUUGGUUUUCCAGAAGGAAGCAGGUUUCAAAGUCAAUAGGGAAACCGCCGCCCUAGGGCUUUGUAGCAUUUCCCGAAGCAGAGCAGAGGUCUACGGGGCAUGGGACCGCUCGCAGAGGGGAAGGUGGGUUUUGGCGACACGGCACCCCUCAGGCUGCAUGUUCCCACCGCCCCCUCCCAGACUGCCUGCCCACCACACCCUGCCGUCUGCCCAUUGCUCAGACGCCACACGCCCCUCCAGCCGCAGCCCUCCCUUUCACCCGCGUCACCUCCAUGGGCCUAGCACCCGCCCCCCUCCUGGACUAGGCUGCUUGUCAUCCUCUCUGCUGGGCGGUGUGAGAGCCCGUGUUUCUCGCUGAGAAUAGUUUCGGUGGCCCUGUGGCCAUCUGUAAAAGGAAGGCUGGGUAGUCCAUGAAUCAAAUCCACAGGCGGACAGUUGAUCUGAAGGGAGAAACCAACACGGUGUGGCAUAAGGGCGGCGGUGGGGACUGUGUUUGGAUAGAUGGCUUUUGUUUCUUUUUUGGCUUGGAUCUUGAGGUGUGUUGUUUCGGCAUGUUGUGGUUUUUUUGUCUGUCCACUUGUUAAUAUAUGGGUUAAAAAUAGUCUUUCUGGGAGAGGACCCUUAUUUUUCUAGAGUGAUUUCACACAUUUUUGGUGAGAUGCGGUAGCAUUCCCUUUUCAAAGGACUGAUGGGAAGGGAAGAGUGAGAACAACUUCAUAUGCCAAAGAAACCAGAUAAGGUGUGAAGAGACUGUUCAUCGACAUUUAAAUCCCCACCUCCCGUUUUUGUUUUUAAGAACUUCGCUAGGAAGGAAAUUGACUAAGUCAGUUAGUUAGAGCUGGGGGGAUCUUUUGAAAAGAACCCAGCUUCUCAUUAUUGUAUAUACGGAACAAGAGGCCCAGAGAGGGUACCUAACUUGUCCAAAGUCACAGAGCACUUCAGAGUGGCUGGGGCUGAUUUCUAGUCUGGAGCUCAAGUGGGAAGCAGUAUCUCUUAGUGAAAGGAAAGUCGUGUGAUUUUUAAAGAGUUUCUUCUAUUUUUUGUUAUACGGUUAUUGUAAGAGAAGUUGGAAGAACUUAGUGUUUUAAUUUCUCUGGAGUCCUAACCACUUCAAAAUGAUCGUUGUUAGUAUUUUUGCUGUGUAAUUUUCCAGACCUUUCAAUGUAUAUGUAUCCUGGCAAAAAUGCUGUAUUUAUUAAAAUUGGAUCACACUGUGCAUACUUCUCUGUAAUGUAAUUCUUAAGAGAUGCUUAACUUAUUGUAUUGAGUGAAUGUAACUUCGUUAAUUUAAUCAGUGCCCUAUGAUAGACAUAUAAGCUUUUUCAGAUGUUAAGCUCUUAUAAAAGAUGCUGCAUUAAAGAUUCCUGUUUGUACAUU